GGAGUGGUAGCGAAGCGGCCGUAACGCGCUUGACUCGAAAUCAAGUUGUCCUCUGGGGCACGCGGGUUCGAAUCCCGCCCACUCCG
rnacentral:tRNA from 2 species